rnacentral:lncRNA from 1 species
GACAGUGUAUGAGAACAGCCCGUUUCACUUUCAUACCGGACAGAGUAUCGAGGGAUGCCAUUUUUGGCGCUCAUACCGAAUAGGGUAUGGGGACAGCCAAAUAAUUGACAAGUUUAGAUAUUGGGUUCACGCGUAAGGGGAUAUCCCUAUGGACUCCCAAAGGUACUAGUAAGCAGAUAAAAAAUGAAAAAUUGUUCUUCUUACUCAUUUGUAUAAGAAAUCAUAAUGUUAUUUG